CUCGGAAGCUAAUAUAGGUUGGCCCUGGUUAGUACUUGGAUGGGAAACCGCCUGGGAAUACCAGGUGCUGUAAGCU
rnacentral:sRNA from 14 species